AGGAUCAGAAUCAAAAAUUAAAAGUGGUCAGGUUAGAUGUCCAGAUCAUGCUGUGCAAAUGCCAGCUGUGGCUAAUGGCAUUACUUUUAAAAAUGUGCUUUUUUGGAUUUAUUACUACUAAGGUGUCUGAAAGUCUGCACUGGAAGGCACAGAGAUGAGCCCAACUGUUUGCAUUUCGGUGAUGCAGAGAGAGCUAGCGGUGACUAUGUCCAGCUUCUUGAAUAGCACUAGGAAAUGGCCUCCUCAAUAAUGUGAGCUUCAUACUCUCAUCUUCUGUUUCAGCUACAGAACAUCAGUUAGAAAGAGCUCCAGUCCUGACAAAGGAAAUAACAGAAAGUGACAUGGGAAGUCUCUUCCUGUACUGGUUAUGGUCCAAAACAACUGGAAGAGGGAAUCCACUCCAGAUACAAACCCCACCUAAUGGAAAUAAUUGACUUUUCCUGACUCAGAACUAACAAGAGAAGUUAAACAUUAACAAGUGCCCCAUGGGACCGCACUCCUGUUGAAGACUGGGAGAACUCUCAAAAGAAGAAGGAAAAUGUCCUCUAACAUCCACUGACCCAGAUCCAGAGUCAGGCCACUGAUAUAUCAUGCCAAGAUUUGCACUGAUGCAGGAUUCAGUCUUGGUAGACAGUUUUCACGGAUACAUCCUCACUGCAAACUGAGUGAUGCCUGGGACUGUCAGGAAGUUUUCACAACAUUUACACAGCAGAAAAUGAGACCAAGAUUAGAUGACAAUUCUGGACAGAAAUCGAGGGAGGUACGUAAGCUGAGGCUGGUUUUGUCUGCAACACAAAAUAGGUCUGUUAAAGAAAAACUAAUUUUUAUUCUGGUGUUAUGGUGAGAACUAUCACAGCUGGGCCUCAUAUAUCUGAGACAGCAUAAAGAAGAGAUUUCCCAGCAAGAGUGCUUCCCUGAUGAGUGAAAAACAGGUCACUGGUUCAUAUAGUUGUAUUAUUUAACACAUAAAAAAAUUAAAUAAAUUUUUCAUUAAUUACA